UGAAUUAUUUUCUGCAUUAUUAUUAUUAUUAUUCUAUAUUAUUAUUUUCUGUAUGUGUUAUAUGUCGAUAUUCAUGUCUGUGAACAUGUAUGCACAAGUGUACACCUAAUUGUGUUGACCAUAGGAUGAUGAUACAUAUCUUCCUUAAUAUCUUCACUUACAUUUUUGAUAGUGUUUUCCACAGAACCAGGCAUUAACAUAUUUGGCAGAAUUAGUUGACAGCAAGUUCUAAGAACUAGGUGACAGCUAAUCUUAGUGAUCCGUCUCUUUCUAACAUCCCUUCACUAGGAAUUAUAGGUUGAGACAGAGCUCUGCUAGGUAAUAUAUGUGGUUUCUAUAACUUCAAAUCAAGGAUUUGUUGUGUGUGGCAGGAGCUUCAAUCACUGAACCAUCUUUCCAGCCUUUUGAUUAUUUAAUUUUUAAUUGAGGCAGUUUUUAUUGCAUUGGUCCAUAAAAUCCUGUAGUAAAAAUUGAUUUAAAGGAAGGGAGAUUCUAUAUAAAGAUAUAAAGAUAGAUAGAUAGAUAGAUAGAUAGAUAGAUAGAUAGAUAGAUAGAUAUGGGAACUGUUUCAGUGCAUAUCAGACAAUGCUUCUGGUUGAUUAACACGGUGUUAAUGGCAAGUAGUUUAUGAUUUAUUAGCAAGUACUAACACUGUUUAGUGUACUUUGUGUUUGUCAUAAGACAUAUUAGAUAGUUUUGUCAUAAAAGAUAGACCAUGAAAGUGAGGAGUGGUCUAUUUAACUCUUAUACAACAAAUUCCUAUACCCUCAGUUUUGUAAUUCUCAUUCUAAAAGUUGUAAGUGAUUUUAGAAAGCCAUCAUUUCUGUACAAAAAUGUGUCUGACCAGAAUGAUAGUGAUUUCCCCUGAGAAGAGAAACUCUACUUAGGAAUUGUUUAGAUGGCUGCAAACUUGUAUUCAUGACAGAAUUGCUAUAAGCAAUAUUUUAUAGUCAGUUAAUAAUAUUCUAAAUAUCAGCUUGUCAGAAGCAGAAAUGACAGGUCUUCCCAGAAAUGGUACUUUCUAGAUGGGUUGCCAUUGAACUUUGAAGCAGGAGUCUGGAAUAUUUGGUUUAGUGAGUGACUUCAAAAGUUGCAAGUCAAUCAUUCUCAAAGAUGAUUUCCUUUUAAUACUUAUCUGCACCCAGAACGUGGACCUGGCAGGAGAGUUCUCCCUACAAUGUGAUAGGGUUAAUAAAAGCAGCCACAGGAAGUCUUUAAAGGGAAAACCAGAAGAGGGCAUUGCAUCCCCCUACAGAUGGUUGCAGAAUUGAAUUGAACUCAGGAGCUCUGGAAGAGCAGUCAGUGUUCUUAACCUCUGAGCCAUUUAAUGUUCCAAGUCUUUAGUGAUCAGAGAAAUGCAAAUCAAAACGACCCUGAGAUUCCACCUUACACCAAUUAGAAUGGCUAAUAUCACAACCUCAGGUGACAACACAUAUUGGAGAGGUUGUGGAGGAAGAAGAGCACUCCUCCAUUGCUAGUGGGAUUACAAACUGGAAAUCAAUCUGGAGGUUCCUCAGAAAAUUGGAGGUAUAUCUACCUGAAGACCUAGCUAUACAACUCUUGGGCAUAUACCGAUAAUGUGCCCCACCAUGCCACAGUGGCACGUGUUCCACUGGGUUCAUAGCGACCUUAUUUGUGAUAGGCAGAAGCUGGAAACAACCUAGAUAUCCCACUACAGAUAAUGUGGUUCAUUUAUACAAUGGAAUUCUACUCAGAUAUUAAGAAUGAGGACAUCCUGAGUUUGUAGGCAAAUAGAUGGAACUGGAAAAUAUCCUGAGUGAGGUAACUCAGCCUCAAAGGGACGUGCAUGGUAUGUACUAACUAAUAAGUGGAUAUUAGCC
rnacentral:lncRNA from 1 species